UCAUCAUCGCCGAAAUGUUUGAAGAGUUUCGUUUCCAGUGUACAACACUUUUGCUGCGCGUGAAGUCGGUUUUUUCCCGCCUCACAUAUUUCGGGAGAUUGGCAGCGCCCGCUUCUUCUGCACCAAUUGCGGUGGAUUGUGGUCCAAAGAGCAAAAGCAUUGGACGGACCGAUUGAUUCGCCCGUUUCUCGGUUGUCGGACGGUACCGUUCGACGUACGUUGCGAAGGACUUCGACUAUUGAAGGAAGAUGGAGAAGAUGGACCAUCAGUGUCACUCUGUGACUGAAGAAGAUUAUUACGAAUGGCUACUGACGGGAGAUCUACCCCUGGUCCUAACCUUCAAGCCUCCUCCAAAGACCUUCUUUUUGCGAAUCGGCGAUCAACUGACUACCUGUCGUUGCGGUGGACUCUGGUCGAGAAACCCCAGCCAUUGGUUAGACUCGAGCCUUCGUCCGUAUUUGGGCUGCCUUCCCGGCUACGAAACCAA